rnacentral:misc_RNA from 1 species
GGGCGCGCAGGUUCGAAUCCUGCAGGUGAC